rnacentral:rRNA from 1 species
AUUAGAGUUUGAUCCUGGCUCAGAUUGAACGCUGGCGGCAGGCUUAACACAUGCAAGUCGAGCGGAGAGAGGUAGCUUGCUACUGAUCUUAGCGGCGGACGGGUGAGUAAUGCUUAGGAAUCUGCCUAUUAGUGGGGGACAACAUUUCGAAAGGAAUGCUAAUACCGCAUACGUCCUACGGGAGAAAGCAGGGGAUCUUCGGACCUUGCGCUAAUAGAUGAGCCUAAGUCGGAUUAGCUAGUUGGUGGGGUAAAGGCCUACCAAGGCGACGAUCUGUAGCGGGUCUGAGAGGAUGAUCCGCCACACUGGGACUGAGACACGGCCCAGACUCCUACGGGAGGCAGCAGUGGGGAAUAUUGGACAAUGGGCGCAAGCCUGAUCCAGCCAUGCCGCGUGUGUGAAGAAGGCCUUAUGGUUGUAAAGCACUUUAAGCGAGGAGGAGGCUACUUUAGUUAAUACCUAGAGAUAGUGGACGUUACUCGCAGAAUAAGCACCGGCUAACUCUGUGCCAGCAGCCGCGGUAAUACAGAGGGUGCAAGCGUUAAUCGGAUUUACUGGGCGUAAAGCGCGCGUAGGCGGCUAAUUAAGUCAAAUGUGAAAUCCCCGAGCUUAACUUGGGAAUUGCAUUCGAUACUGGUUAGCUAGAGUGUGGGAGAGGAUGGUAGAAUUCCAGGUGUAGCGGUGAAAUGCGUAGAGAUCUGGAGGAAUACCGAUGGCGAAGGCAGCCAUCUGGCCUAACACUGACGCUGAGGUGCGAAAGCAUGGGGAGCAAACAGGAUUAGAUACCCUGGUAGUCCAUGCCGUAAACGAUGUCUACUAGCCGUUGGGGCCUUUGAGGCUUUAGUGGCGCAGCUAACGCGAUAAGUAGACCGCCUGGGGGAGUACGGUCGCAAGACUAAAACUCAAAUGAAUUGACGGGGGCCGC